AUUGAACGCUGGCGGCAGGCCUAACACAUGCAAGUCGAACGAGCGGCGGACGGGUGAGUAAUGUAUGGGGAACUGCCCGAUGGAGGGGGAUAACUACUGGAAACGGUAGCUAAUACCGCAUACUAUCGGAUGUGCCCAGAUGGGAUUAGCUAGUAGGUGGGGUAAAGGCUCACCUAGGCGACGAUCCCUAGCUGGUCUGAGAGGAUGAUCAGCCACACUGGGACUGAGACACGGUCCAGACGCCGACGGGAGGCAGCAGUGGGGAAUAUUGCACAAGGGGCGCAAGCCUGAUGCAGCCAUGCCGCGUGUAUGAAGAAGGCCUUAGGGUUGUAAAGUACUUUCAGCGGGGAGGCGUUACCCGCAGAAGAAGCACCGGCUAACUCCGUGCCAGCAGCCGCGGUAAUAC
rnacentral:rRNA from 1 species